rnacentral:rRNA from 1 species
GACGAACGCUGGCGGCGUGCUUAACACAUGCAAGUCGAACGGAAAGGCCCUGCUCUUGUGGGAUGCUCGAGUGGCGAACGGGUGAGUAACACGUGAGUAACCUGCCCUUGACUUUGGGAUAACUUCAGGAAAAUGGGGCUAAUACCGCAUAGGAGCUCCUGCUGCAUGGUGGGGGUGGGAAAAUUUCGGCGGUUGGGGAUGGACUCGCGGUUUAUCAGCUUGUUGGUGAGGUAGUGGCUUACCAAGGCUUUGACGGGUAGCCGGCCUGAGAGGGUGACCGGCCACAAUGGGACUGGGAAACGGCCCGGACGCCUACGGGAGGCAGCAGUGAGGAAUAUUGCACAAUGGGCGGAAGCCGUAUGCAGCAACUCCGCGUGCUGGAUGACUGCCGUCGGGUUGUAAACCGCUUGCGCCUGUGACGAAGCGUGAGUGACGGUAAUGGGUAAAGAAGCACCGGCUAACUACGUG